rnacentral:rRNA from 1 species
GAGAAAGUAAGCAAGGGCAGACGGUGGAUGCCUUGGCUCUCGGAGGCGACGAAGGACGUGAUAAGCUGCGAAAAGCCCGGGGGAGGCGCAAAUAGCCCUUGAUCCCGGGAUAUCCGAAUGGGGCAACCCGGCAGGUUGAAGGCCUGUCAUCCCGAAAGGGAGGCGAACGUGGGGAACUGAAACAUCUAAGUACCCAUAGGAGGAGAAAAUAAACAAUGAUUCCGUAAGUAGUGGCGAGCGAACACGGAAGAGCCCAAACCCGUGUCGUCUAGGCGAUACGGGGGUUGUAGGACCACGACGUGGCAAGAUAGAGUCAAGUGGAACGCCUUGGAAAGGGCGACCGUAGAGGGUGAUAGUCCCGUACACGACUGACGAUUGAAGCCUAGUGGUAUCCUGAGUAGCGCGGGGCACGAGAAAUCUUGCGUGAAACAGCGGGGCCCAUCCCGUAAGGCUAAAUACUCCCGAGAGACCGAUAGCGAACCAGUACCGUGAGGGAAAGGUGAAAAGAACCCCGAGCAGGGGAGUGAAAUAGACCCUGAACCCGUCUGCCUACAAGC